ACCUCGGGGGGCAGCAGUGAGGAAUAUUGGUCAAUGGACGAGAGUCUGAACCAGCCAAGUAGCGUGAAGGAUGACUGCCCUAUGGGUUGUAAACUUCUUUUAUAUGGGAAUAAAAUGUUCCACGUGUGGGUUUUUGUAUGUACCAUAUGAAAAAGGAUCGGCUAACCCCGGGCCAGCAGCCGCGGUAAUACGAAGGAUCCGAGCGUUAUCCGGAUUUAUUGGGUUUAAAGG
rnacentral:rRNA from 1 species